AGGGAACCUGUGUGCUCGUCUGCAAUACACUCUGGGCAGGGAAACUGUGUGCAAGUCUGCAAUACACUCUGGGCUUUAUGUCUAAAGUCAGUCAGCAGGGUUUUUUGCAAGCGGAAUGCAGAAGCCAUGUAAGGCCACAGAACAGUUACAGACGAUGAGGAACAGUGAGCGUCCCCCUCCCAUUCAGUGGGAGCCACCUGCGCAGGCCCACCCCACAGACCACAGCGAGGAUGCGCGCCUAAGAACGGUGGUGGUUGGAACUAAGGUCCUGCUCUGGCUUUGCCUUCCACCAUGAAUGAAAGCUCCCUAAAGCCUCCCCGGAAGCAGACGCCACCAUGCCUCCUGCAUAGCCUGUGGAGGAAACCUCUUCUUUUCCUUAUAAACUAAACCUCUUUUCCUUAAAAAUUACCCGGCCUCAGGUAUUUCUUGAUAGCAAUGCGAGAAUGCACUAAUAACACCAGGUAUACGCCAACAGUAGAAUAAAUAUUCAUUUAAUCCGAUACAAAAUUAUUUAACAGUUACACUUAUACAAUUACAUAUAUUCCCCCAAAGUUUAUUAUUUCUCAAAGAUUAAGGUGUAUCUUUACUUUGUAGUCAUAACUGAGUGUCUGCUUGUUAAUGGUAUUGCAGUUUAUAUAAAAUAAAAAUGGUGGAAACAG